GACAAAGACUGCGGCUACUUUAGCCUCAGUAUGUUCCUACAGUGAGGAUAGGGGAAUCCCCGGUGGUAAGGAAUCCAAAUAGAAUCCAAGGCUUUAUUAUUAUAUUAGCAUAAGUAGUCAACAUUUUCAACUAGGGUUUUUGCCAUACAUGCAAACAUAAUAAAUAAAACCAAACAAAGAUAGUUAGCAUAGAUAGGAGCCUAUCUCUAGUAGGCAUCGGAGUAGAUCUCCACUAAACAAAGAAAAAGAAAGGGGUUGCGGGUCAAAUCCGCAUCUUUGCGCCCUUUACUUACUUCAAGGGAUGUUGCGUCCGAUACAUGAUUGUUUAAUGACGAUUCUCAACAGCAUCUGUAAGAUCUCGAGGCUUACUAGACGGAAUUCGAUCAAAAAUGAAAACUUUGGAUAUUUUUCUUAGAAGGAGAUGAACUACCUAUAUUGUAUGUAAGUGCACGAAUUAAGAGAAAGCUGGCAUCCAAUCAAGAAAGAAUCACUUCGGACAAUUAGACUGAGCUUCUCCCUUGUCUCUCUUCUUUAGCUAAUGAUGAAGCAAAUCCCUAAAGUCAAAGUAGUCCAUGAAAGCAUCUAUUUUUUCCGUUCAAGAAAUUGCUUAUGUAAAGAUGGGGUGAGUCCCUUAUAAGAUCUUCAUUUCUUCUUUUUUCUUCUAUUAGUUAGCUUGGAUUGAGAAAGCUCCGCCCAAUAGUGCUUAGCCAUGUGUGUGUAGACCGAAAUGGUCUCACGAAACCGGUCAACGGUAGCCUAAGAGCAAGUCAAAACUACGAGAAGUGCGCGAGAAGUUUUGUGAAGGUAGAGAGAGAUUUUCAAAUCAGACUUCAAGUUGGUGUGCCGCGUGUUAAGAAGGCAGAGACCGCCCCAGGCUUCGCCCUAAUUCCCAUCUAAGGUUGAAUAAGAUUAGAUUAGUCUCGCUAAAUUCGUUCUCGAAUGAUUCAUCGAUGGAAUUAGGCCUAGUUGUAUGAAAAUUUCUUGUGAUUCCCUCGCUUUCUUCGACGAAGGCAUACACGCAUCGAUAGGGAACCCAAAGAAGGGCUAGAAAAAGGAAAGCGGCACCUUAACUUAAUAGCUCCAUUUCUUGUUCCUGAGCGGAAGGUACGCUCAGCCCCUGAUACAUCGCUAUUUCUUAAUCCUUGCGUCCAGGGAUAAUGAGUCGGUUGGCUCUUAAAGUAUAGCCUCUUUCGGGGUUAGCGAUAAGAGUACACCGGCUCGUAUGGUAGCGGGCGAACUAAGGAUUUCGUGCUUGGAAGAAAGCUUGCAAGUGGGUGAACGCAUCACCAGCCAAGCUAGUCACUUGGAACAUAGGGGUAUUCAAUCCCCGAGCUUCCGGGCCUUGGUAACCGACUUCGAAUUUGCCCCUUAGAUAGUGAGUAGCAAAGAAGGGUAGCGUUUCAAGUUUAGGGUUUUCACUUCCACGUCCCAGCUCGUCGAAGCUACCGCCUAUCGAUUGAAAUUUCCCUCCUCAGCCGGAGACGGAAUCGGCUCCCCCUGAGCCAUCCUCGGAAGAGUAAGGAAGGAGAAGGGAACGGGAGUUUCUCGCCUCCUAAGAGUAUAAAGAGGCGGAGUAUCACCCCAACAAACUAGACGCACGCAUCAAGGCGUUCUGCCAACGAGCGAAGGGGAUCACUCAAGAAAGGGGAUUCAGCCCCGGCAAAUGCGAUGCAGUGAAAGACGCUGCAAACUAUGUGGCCGGUGACGUAAAAGAUAUGUUGGCAGCUAGCCAACUACGCUUUCUAACGAGGUUAAGGCGUGACCUAGAAAAUGCAAACAACGAGACCUGGGGUCUCAUCGAACAGGAAGUUCGAAGAUGGAGACCCGGUUUGGCACGAAAUCAGAAAGGUUUGGGGGCCCGUUGGUCAAAGGAAAGGGAAGGUCCUGCUUCUGGGACGGAGUCGUAUGACGCGAAAGUGUCACGUACGGUUCCUUUGAGAAGGGUGUGAUACCACCACCUAUCAGGCUCGACGAGCGAUCCACGGAGCUGCAUCCUUACUUGCCUGGUCUAUGCACAUCGCUCUCUCCAGGAGGUUGGCCGCCUAUCCUAGAUCUUCCCAUUUAGAAGAAGAUCUCGGGCUCGAUCUGGUUUAGUAUCAAGGAGAUUCUUUUUCUAUUCCUAUAUAUAUGGGUCCGUGCAGCAUUUCCACGAUAUCGUUAUGAUCAAUUAAUGGGACUUGGCCGGAAAAAGUUCUUGCCUCUAUCAUUAACUCGGGUAGUCCCCAUUUCUAGUGUUUUAGUCACCAUUCAAUGGCUCCCUAAAUUAUGUGCGAGGAAUUGCCCUAUUAAGUAAUGGGAAGCGGGCUAGCCCCCGAAAAUGCCCCACCCGUAAGUUCCUUUGUCGUUGGGGAAAAAAAAGAAAGAGAUUUUUUUUAGAAAAGAAAUUCUGCCUUUUUUGAUCCCAUGCUUUCCGUUGGUCAACAACCAACUAAAUCUAUACUUCUUCACUACUCGUACAAGCUUGACGGAGUGAAGCUGUAUUGAGGAAAUCGUUUUGUCUCAACUAAAUCAAUAUGUUUCCAAGAAUUCCGCGUAUCUUUUCCUUUGAUGAAGAAAGUCUCAAUUCCAGUGCUACAUCUGCGACAACUUCUCUUCAAUCCACAACAACUAUUAACGAUUCUUCUAAUGGUAUUUUUGAGCACUUUCCAGGUCUUAACCGUUCCAGUGAACGUAUAGUGGAACUUCAAUCUGAUAUAUGGGCGAAAUUAGGAGAGUUGAUGCCUAACAAGAGUGCCCAAGAAGUUCUGGAAGCGGCCGAAGUUCUACAUGGUGAAAGCAACGAUAUUGACUUUCUUGACUCCCUAUUGAAAGAUUUGAAUCAAAACGGAGUAGCGGGUGAAGCAUAUAAAGAUGCAGUGGAUCUAGUGAAAGAUCUUGUCUCCAGCCCACUUGAACAAUUUGAAAUAAUUCCAUUGAUUCCUAUGAAAAUAGGAAACUUAUAUUUCUCAUUCACAAAUCUAUCUUUUUUUAUGCUACUAACUCUCAGUUUGGUCCUACUUUUGGUUUAUUUUGUUACUAAAAAGGGAGGAGGAAACUCAGUACCAAAUGCUUGGCCAUCCUUGGUAGAGCUUAUUUAUGAUUUGGUGCUGAACCCUGUAAACGAACAAAUAGGUGGUCUUUUUGGAAAUGUUAAACAAAAGUUUUCCCCUCACAUCUCGGUCACUCUUACUUUUUCCUUAUUUUGUAAUCCCCAGGGUAUGAUAAUAUCUUAUAGCUUCACAAUUACAAGUCAUUUUCUCAUUACUUUGGGUCUCUCAUUUUCGAUUUUUAUUGGCAUUACUAUAGUGGGAUUUCAAAAAAAUGGGCCUCAUUUUUUAAGCUUCUUAUUACCCGCGGGAGUCCCGCUGCCAUUAGCACCUUUUUUAGUACUCCUUGAGCUAAUCCCUUAUUAUUUUCGAGCAUUAAGCUCAGGAAUACGUUUAUUUGCUAAUAUGAUGGCUGGUCAUAGUUCAGUAAAGAUUUUAAGUGGGUUCGUCUGGAAUUAGGUGUAGCUAUAUCACAAGCUCAUGUUUCUACGAUCUUAAUCUGUAUUUACUUGAAUGAUGCUAUAAAUCUUCAUCAAAGUGCUUAUUUUUUUAUAAUUGAACAAAAGCGAGUUUGAAUGGGUAUACUUAGUCGUGGAGCAUUCCGAGUCUUUGCUUUAGGAUCGUUCCUGCGCAUCUCCUUACUUUAUAGCAGUUAUUGCUCCGAUUCCAGAAGGUAUUGCUCUCACCUCAACUUUUUCUUUGAAAUCGGAGACUGUUCCAAUUUCCUAUUGAGAUAGGCAAGUGGAGGGAGAACUAGACGUAUCUUGCUAGGCAAAGACAGCUUAGAAUGGAUAGCUCACGGGUGGGAUUGACGGGAUAGAUCACUAUUGCAGAAGGAGGUAGAACUGGGGGAAGAAUUAUGGCUAUAAAGGUCCUCGCCCUCUUAGGCACAUGGUUCUAAAGAUUCAAUCUCAAGGCGGUACUAAAGAUUAGGCAGAAGAAGAACUAUAACUAGAAUUCUUCGCCUCUCCCCUUGUACCAAGAAUAAAGUUUAG